rnacentral:rRNA from 1 species
UACAGAGGGUGCUAGCGUUGUUCGGAAUCACUGGGCGUAAAGCGCACGUAGGCGGAUGUGUCAGUCAGGGGUGAAAUCCCGGAGCUCAACUUCGGAACUGCCCUUGAUACAGCACGUCUUGAGUCCGGAAGAGGUGGGUGGAAUUCCUAGUGUAGAGGUGAAAUUCGUAGAUAUUAGGAAGAACACCGGUGGCGAAGGCGGCCCACUGGUCCGGUACUGACGCUGAGGUGCGAAAGCGUGGGGAGCAAACAGG